CAGAGAAAAAAAGUUGAUGCUCUUUUUCUUAAUAGAAAAAGUGAAGGAUACUUUGCAAUUUUAAUAAAUAGACAUUUAAUACGAAAUGAAACAAAAUUUCGCGAGUAUUUUCGUGUUAAUAAAAACCAUUUCGAUCAGUUGUUCUUCUACUUCUCCCGAAAAAUGCAAUUUAGCAAUAUUGCUGUACGGGACAGUCGAAAUACACUGCCCAAAAGCUGGUUUGUGAAUGAAAUAAAUCAACG